UGGACGGAAGUAGUAAUUCUUCCAAAGAAAUACUAUUAUUUAGUGAGAAUUGUUUUGUGUGAUCAAUGAGUCCCGAGCCCUGUUACAUCUACGAAUAUUUACAUUAUUAUUUCAUACAAUAGACGACACCUGCGUCUGGACAGCGGCCAACUUGAGUAAUACUAUUGUUCGACAUAUUUUUGGCGUGUGAACAAGAUUUUUAAAUAGUUUUUUUUUAUUAUUGUGUCGUCACGUAUUAGAUGAGACAAUUAUCGGAUGUUGACCGUGCGUUGCCGUGUUUAUAUUGAAUACUUUCAAAGAACUAAAUGCAAUAACAACAUUUUGAAGAUUAAUUUCGACGGACCAUACGGAGCGUCAGGACAGAUACUUAAAUAUAAUAGGUAUCAUGUCCGGGGACGUCUGUCAUCUCGCCCGUGGCCGGCCGCGAGGCGUCGCUCGUGUCAGUUUAGCUGGAAGCGGCGCCAUUACAGCAAUUGCCGUAAGCAGGAUGAAGACGAUUUAGAUCUCCGCGUCUAUGAUUCACGAGACCUCGAGUUUUUGGCACAAGAGAAUUGAACAUAAACUGUUGAUUGUUCUCAAUAAUAAUAAAGAAUACGUCGCGACUUCUC